AUUGAACGCUGGCGGCAGGCCUAACACAUGCAAGUCGAACGGUAACAGGAAGCAGCUUGCUGCUUUGCUGACGAGUGGCGGACGGGUGAGUAAUGUCUGGGAAACUGCCCGAUGGAGGGGGAUAACUACUGGAAACGGUAGCUAAUACCGCAUAACGCCGCAAGACCAAAGAGGGGGACCUUAGGGCCUCUUGCCAUCGGAUGUGCCCAGAUGGGAUUAGCUAGUAGGUGGGGUAACGGCUCACCUAGGCGACGAUCCCUAGCUGGUCUGAGAGGAUGACCAGCCACACUGGAACUGAGACACGGUCCAGACUCCUACGGGAGGCAGCAGUGGGGAAUAUUGCACAAUGGGCGCAAGCCUGAUGCAGCCAUGCCGCGUGUAUGAAGAAGGCCUUCGGGUUGUAAAGUACUUUCAGCGGGGAGGAAGGGAGUAAAGUUAAUACCUUUGCUCAUUGACGUUACCCGCAGAAGAAGCACCGGCUAACUCCGUG
rnacentral:rRNA from 1 species